GCAUUCCACUGCGGGUGUCUAGGCGCCGAUUUGUUCAUAGAUGGAUCUAUGGACACUUUUGUGCGACUGGGCUGAGAUUAAACCGUAUGAACUCGAUCAAGUUAAUUCUUGCGUGAGGAUAGUGUUGCUCUGGAAUA
rnacentral:ncRNA from 1 species